GCACAAGUGGCCUGCCUGAGAAGGCUAUUCCUGCCUCCGUUGCUCUAUUUACCUUGAGAUAUUGUUAAACAUCCCGAAGUUGUCUGUGGGGAGGAGAGAGGCAGGCGCCUGUUUAGGAGAAUGUAAUUACAACUACGGCAAUAUGUGCACAAGGUAUCCAAAAGCCAGACUGAUUCACCAGCUGCUCAUAGGUUUUUAUCUUAUGAACUAGGAAGACUACUUUGUCCUCCUCCAAUUUUACAUAGCACCCUGUGUAAUGGAACCAGGAAUCCUAUGGGGACGUCCACAUGAGAUGGUAUCUGGAAAAACUCAGAGGAAUUGAUGAAUGUUGACAUACAAGAAAUUAUCAAGACUCCUAGGGUGAUAACAGCAGUCCUGAGGAGUUUGGGGACAGAAAAACCUUUCAGCUCUUUGUGGAUUAAUGAUUUGUUCAUGAUGGCAUCGAGAACGUAAGAGGACACUUGAUCUGCUGCAGGAAGGAGUAUGAGUGCUUCCCAUAUGGAGAAGGCACGACCUUCACCAUGGGUUAAAGAUCCAUCAAAAGUGGGGUUGAAGGAGGAAUCUAGGGAAGAUUUAAAUCCAAAGGGGAUCCCAUUGAAGACCUUAAAGAAGGGUUUAAAUAGUAGCAUAUUUAAUCAGUCUCAGAAUACAAAGUGUGAGCUGGGCAAGCAAGCAUGGCCAAGUGCAAAGUAAGAGAAAAGAUGAUCUUAGAGUAAAUCAGCUAAAUGUAAUUUUCUUUUGUUUCCCUAACAUAUUUUUAUAAAUCUGUAUGAAAGACUUCUCUAGUUUAGGUCCAUUAACUAGCUAUUUUUGUUUGCUUUAACUAGAAUCUGGCUUGGCUUUUAGGGGAUUUCAUUCCCUUUCCACCAGUGAAGAGACUGGCAUUUUGAGGGUGUUCAUGCAAAGCCCCUGAGGUCUCUCCCAGGCAUCCAGGACCACCAUGUUACAUCUCCAUCUGGCUAGAUGAUCUGCAGUGCUUAACUCUGCUCCUGGUGUUUGGCGUUCCCCACUCCCAGUAAGUACCAGACAUUUCUUCAAUAAUUGGGUGGCAUUCACAUGAAACCAAUGAAGAGCAAAGGGCCUGUCUAUUAAAGAUCCUUAGCUAUCCAAAUAAGCUGCCAGGCACCCGUAGGGUCUGAAAUCAAAGAGGCAUAAAGCCUAAUACUGACAGUCUCUCAUAAAAUCAGUAGAGACAGACUCCUCUUAAGCAUAGACUUAGGACAGGGGCCUGACUUGGGAGAUCUCAGGCACGUUGGAAAAGCCUGGAGUAAGGCUGCUGCUCCUCUUGAACAAACUCAGUUUUCCCUUCUGAUUAUCACGGGAACCAGACACUGGCCUCCUGCCACUGAAAUUAGUUUUUUAUCCCUUCCUCCUCCCAGUACAGCAUCUACUUGCUGGUAUAGGUAGCUACAUGCACUACAGUUCUGUGCAAAAUAUCCUCACAUCUUGAAAGCAGACUUUCAAAAUCUAUGAGUAUAUUUUACCUCAAUAACAUUUAGGGUCACUCCAGUAUUAAC